UACAGAGGGGGCUAGCGUUAUUCGGAAUUAUUGGGCGUAAAGGGCGCGUAGGCGGCCAUGCGUGUCUUCCGUGAAAUCCCUCGGCUUAACUGAGGACGUGCGGAAGAAACUGCAAGGCUCGAGUCCGGGAGAGGGGGGUGGAAUUCCCAGUGUAGCGGUGAAAUUCGUAGAUAUUCGCAAGAACACCAGUGGCGAAGGCGGCUCACUGGCCCGAUACUGACGCUGAGGCACGAAAGCGUGGGGAGCAAACAGG
rnacentral:rRNA from 1 species